rnacentral:misc_RNA from 1 species
GUCCUACUGUCAGAUCAAAGAGGGGGAAGUAGAAGCUGUUGCUAUGGUACAUUCAUAUGAAGAUGGAAUGCAACCUGGAUCUCAUAAGACUAGGCUGACUGCUCUUAAUGUUCCCCCAAUGGGUUUAUUUUACCCAAUGCUUUUGGUUCCAGAUGUCUAUCCUCCGCCACCUCGCUCUUGGUUUAACGAUUAUGAUGAUAUGCUUGAGGACACAUGGCACAUGGACUUCCCUGGUGGUGGUGCAUAUCCGAUGUGGGAGAGCUACCCAGUUUUCCAAACAAAGCCAAAGAAAGAAGAUAUUAUUGGACUUGCUGAAGCUAUUACAAAGAGCAUUCUUUUGACAGGGCGUAUUGAGCUACAGAGAAAGUUGUUUUGCAGCAUGCAACUGAUUGGUGGAGCUGCAUCGAUUUAUGGUCUCAUUCCUGCUGUGGAGGAAAGAGUUUUACAUGCAAUCCCUUCACAUGAAGCAAUUGACACUGUGGAGGUCUUGCAAUCGAG